CACGGAUAUUUAGUUUUAUUCCACAUUUAAUGUACGUAAAAGGGUGUUUUUGUAAAUGCAAAGAUUAAAUCAGACAGCCUCUGAAUUGUAGUCUUGAAAACAUUAGCAAGUUCUUUUAGGUCCAGGGUAGAUACUGCAGUUCACUUAGCCAACUUUCUGCAUUGAGACAUCCUUGCCAGGGAUCCUGUCAGUUAUGCGAAGAUGCGGCACGAGAUAAUUCCUCUUGCUGUGAUGGUUCGUCCUCAAUGACAGGUCCCUUAUAGUAUUUAGGUACAACAAGGUCUUUUGUGCUUGGAAUGCCCUUGAAAAAGCUGCCUCACCUGUUUGUGAAGGGAACCCCAAAGAGAAAGGGAGAGGAAGGGCUGGGUGCAGAAGGGCCAAGACACAGAACCCAGGUCUGAGCUACACCUCCAACUUGCUUUCUGCUGCAACCACCUUUUCCACCUUCUUUCU
ensembl:lncRNA novel transcript, antisense C19orf42